UUGUUUCGGCCGCAAUCCAAACGCUCACAUCUUCUUUUUCUUUAGCGACAGUUGUUAUAUUUGUUGAUUUCAUUUUCUAACUAUAAAUUUUCCUCUGUUAUUAAUUGUAAAAUAAUUUAAGCUAAAUAUUGCGUGUUUUUGGUACUGUUCUAUGAGUUGCUUCCACAAUAACAGUUAAGCAAACUAUUAAUUUUGUUUUCAUCUUCUCAGGAUUCCACAUGUGUCACUAAAAUUUCUAUUCGUGUGCAUACUCAGGGUGCUUAACUUUGAUUUCAUUCGUGCCAUUGUUUUGACUAUUGCAGUUCACCUGAAUGAUGAAAUCAUUAAAAGAGCUUUUGCAUAACUUCCAGCUAUACCAUUGAAAGCUUACAUUAGUCUUUAACUUUUCCAAUUUUACUAUGUUAUUUUUUUCACCAUCAUUAUUUAAUGUAUGUUGUUGUAUUAAUGUACAUUUCUUUUAUAUUUGCAGCUUAGCUCGAUAUGGGACAUGAGACAGACUAACUCUCAACUGGUAACAAAUUCUUAACUGAUCCUAGCCUUGGUAGAACUUGUCUUUGAUUGGGAUUUCGAUGUUAGGCGGUUUCCUCAGGGUUGCAAGUAGAGGAUGCAGGAGGUGGUAAUGCUUAGGAGAGUCAGGGGGUUAUUAAAGCUUCUUUCAUAAGGUUGCGAGUGAACUGCUAAAAAUAUCCACGAACAAGAGGGUGGUCAUGAAAUGUAUCCACAAGUUCAAGGCUGAAAAGGGAAGAAACGACUCUACCAAAUCAGUUUGAGAUAAAAGGUGCUAAGAAAAAAACAAGCUGAGAGAGAAAAGUAGCAAGGCAGGAUCAGCAUUAGGCUCCGUCGAUGGAGAAGCUCUAUUUGCAUAUCCAACGCUUUACUGACCAAUUCUGAAGUAAAUCUACUUUUCCACUAAGAGGAGAGUGACGAUAAAAAAUGCAUCUCCUACAUGUGAUAUACCUAUUGAUUUGGCAUACUACUUUAGAGGACGGACGAGAAGAUUUUGUUGACAAUCAGCUGAGCUCCUCCUUAGCAUCUGCCUCAAGCUCAAACCACCAACUACAUAUAUUUUCUAUAAAAAUGACUUGUGAUCUUUUACAACUUCUUUCAUACCAGUGUGGAUGUAGUACGAGCAGAGUUAACAUGCUGAUGUAUGGCGCGUUAAAAUGACAUGAUGAAUGCACGGAAGGUGAAAAUAUAAUUUGAUACAAGCUAGAUGAGUUGUACAUGAUAAUGUGGUAUAACAUCCUAAUAAAGAGUAUUGUUUCUAUUUAAAAAGUCAAUCUGUUGCUGACCUCCUAUUGAAAUUGUUGGGCCCAUGCUUGUGUGUCAUCCUUCAUAAACGAUAUAUGUCCUUAAGAAACGAUAUAUGUAAUUAGAAUUUGCACAACAAUUUUGUACUGUAUAUUAGUAUUUGAUUUUUUUCAAUAA